CUGAAUGGAUGUACGGAAAUUUCAUUUGAACACGACGCCGUAACAUCACGCAAAUCUUACAAAACGAAAUAUUUAUCUCCUAAGUAACAUGAACGUUAAUUAAAAUCGAUAUUUAGGAGGAACUAAUUUACUGAGCGCAUGACACAACAAAACUGUCGUUAGUAAUACGUCUCCUCGUGCUCACCUUCGAAAAGAUGCAUGAUAUGGGGUGCCGCGAAACCGAUCAAUGGUUUCGAGGUACUCCAAUAAUGAGGGUCCAUUUUACGAAAGGGGUGGUCACAUGUUCAAGCCCAUUUCUCAGAAAAUAAACAAACAACAGGAAAUAUCACAAAUUCAAUUCUUUAUCACAGUUCCCCAUCUUACUUGUAAUUUGUAAUUAUGCGUAUCUAUGAAAUACAAAUAAUCAAAAUUAGAAAAGAUGUAUAUACUGUUUUGCCCCUGUACAAGAUAGUGUCAACUCGCCUGAAACUGAGGUGGUGACAAGAGACGUCGAACAUGUGCGAAAUUUCAGACAUGCAGCUUAGCUGGGAUAGAAAAAGUUGUUUACUGUUACAGUGAAUUAACAUAUGUGAGAGAUACCGUGGAAAGUAGCAGAAGAAUUAACCUGGAAAUUAUUCACGGGAGCAGUGGACAGUGGCAGGAUAUUUGUAUCUUUGACAGGUACCAAAUUACGUUCGUUAGCGAGCUGCUGCUGUCCCUGAAAAAUGUUCGAAUAAUGUCGUUUUUGAGACGAGCUCGAGUCAAUGGAAUACGACUUCAACGAUUCAUCGGUUUUGUGGCCGGUUAUUCUGCAAAUCUCGCGAUUUUCAAUACCUGCGUUUGACAGCAAAGUGACGGCAGUUUGCAGUGUGAAAUUCCCGGUCUUGGAUAAUGUUUAUGCUGCGCUCAAAUGGCGGUCCCCUGAUGUGCCUGUGUAUGGCAGCACGCAACCCAACAAAACUCGAUUUUGAGUAAAGGUCUCCCUCAGCAUUUCUGACUUCGGCAUAAAAGAACCUCAGUCUCUCAUUCAGUUGAAAAGCAGGAAGCUCUUCGAACGUGGGUUCAAAACCUCGGAAACCAAGCCAUUCUGGAAGUGAAAAGAUUGCCUUGUUCAGGGUACAAAUGUGACGAUUUGGAGAGGUUCCCAUCCACGAUGUCCUGUACUGCUUUUUCAUCAAGGGACGCGAAGCGGUGACUGGACGCUUGAACUUUGGGCUCUACGGAAACGCUUGCUGUAUUUCCUAGUUCAGGGGCCAUCUCAGAACGGUUUCCAGCUUCAACAGCUGUUGUGGGUUAUAAUAAGAACAAAAUUAGGUGGGUGUAUGAAAGUCAUAACUAUUAUAGAGUUGCAAUAAAUGUUUUUUACUCUGUUAAAAA